GCAGUAAAGCGCUGCAGUAGUUGAGCACCAACCCUCAGAGUUACACGAAGAAGAACUACGUCAUUUCCGCUUCUGGUCAAAAAUGGCGUCCUCCUCACAUGCGGACGGCGUGAGCGACGCACAAACAGGGAAAAAAUCAAAAAAGACUAAAAACCAAGUGGAUGAAUCUGAGCUCCUGACUGUUCCUGAUGGAUGGAAGGAGCCAGCGUUCACCAAAGAUGACAAUCCCCGCGGUCUGCUGGAGGAGAGCAGCUUUGCUACUCUCUUCCCCAAAUACAGGGAAGCCUACCUGAAAGAGUGCUGGCCACUGGUAGAGAAGGCUUUAGGAGAAGAGUACAUCAAACCCUCUCUGGACCUGAUUGAGGGCAGCAUGACCGUCUGCACCACGAAGAAAACGUUUGACCCGUACGCCAUCGUGAGAGCCAGAGAUCUCAUUAAGCUGCUGGCAAGGAGCGUCCCGUUUGAACAGGCUGUGCGGAUAUUACAGGACGACGUGGCCUGUGACAUCAUCAAAAUCGGGACCCUGGUGAGGAACAGAGAACGGUUUGUAAAGCGAAGACAGCGCCUGAUUGGCCCCAAAGGCUCCACCCUGAAAGCGUUAGAGUUGCUGACCAACUGCUAUGUGAUGGUGCAGGGAAACACGGUGUCAGCCCUGGGGCCCUACAGCGGCCUGAAGGAGGUACGUAAAGUGGUGAUGGACACGAUGAAGAACAUCCACCCCAUCUACAACAUCAAGACAUUGAUGAUCAAACGGGAGCUGUCCAAAGACCCCGACCUGCGGAUGCAGUGCUGGGAACGCUUCCUGCCCAACUUCCGCCACAAGAACCUCUCCAAGCGUAAGGAGCCCAAGAAGAAGAGUGUGAAGAAGGAGUACACACCGUUCCCCCCUGCACAGCCAGAGAGCAAGGUUGAUAAGGAGCUGGCCACAGGAGAAUUUUUCCUGCGGGAAAGUGUGAAAAGGAGAAAGAAGAUGGAAGAAAUCAAGGUCAAGCAAGCAGAAGCUCUAACCAAGAAGCAGGAAAAGCGGAACAAAGCUUUCAUACCUCCUAAAGAGAAGCCUUUCAUGAAGAAGACCGUAAAAGCCCCUACAGAAGGUAAGCUGGACAUCGAAGCCCUCAAGGAGAAAGUGAAAAAAGCCAAAACGAAGAAGCUCGGGGCUCCACCAGUGAACCCAGCUCCUCCCAGCAGCAGCACCAGCAACAAAAAGAAAAAGAACAAAAACAAAGGCUAAGCAGCCAUGAACGUUUAACGCGUAUCUGUCGGACAGAGUAAAGACUGGAAGUGCACAGGAAGACAGGACGUCACACAGACGAAGUGUGUGCUUGGAUCAAGAUGAAUGAUUCCAUCACAGACUCUCCCAGACAUCUUUAUUCUACUUGUUCUGUCGGGAAGAGAGCCCUUUUUGUAUUCUCCCGUUUCAAUAUCCUCUAUGUGGAGACCAAGUGUGUUGAAGAAGAUGAACGGUUUCCCAGAGACUAUGGGUUGAGGAGGAAUUGGAAGUUUGUCGGCUUAGACCUGGUGUCAUUCCAUCAGUGUUAAACUUCCCGGCUCAUCUUGGAAGAGUACGUGCCAGAAAGACCAUGACCAAGCAGCCUUGAGAUCUUAGGCAGCGUCUCCCUGAGGUCCCUCUCUAUCUCCCCACACAUCCACCAACCACUGGAACACAUCUCCAAAGUUCUGCUGGGCCAGCUCAGCUUCCCCUCAGAAGAAGUGGCGCCACCUGCCAGAUGAAGGAGCCUUUCGAGAGGCAGCUGGCAUCGUGAUUGGACUGUACUUUGGUCUGUUGCAAUCCAGCUUCAGCUCCAGAGACGGCAGGCGGGACGAGUCAACGGAGGCCGGAUGGACGAAGGCAUGCAGCUGAGUACAAUCCAGAAAACAACAGAGGAGGAGUGCAGGGCCAGAACAACCAGAGUAGCAUC